GCCGAGGCUGGAGCGCAUGGAUAGAUGAGACGCAGGGAGACACAUGAGGCAAACCAGCACCAGCGCAUGGACAGCGGCAUGUGCAGAGUUAACGGCCGGUCUCGGAAAGCGCCGGAACACAUUUGCAUAAAUUUGCAUUGACACCUAUUCUGGGUGUACAGCUGAUUCAAUGGACUCAUUUCAGAAGGAAAAUCAAAAAUGGCCCCAUUUACAUUUCCACCCUAUAAGAAACGGAAUACCAAGAGUGACAUCACUCUCCCCCGCCCAAUGCAUAACACUGUAGGCUAUAUUACAUAUUAUAUUAUGCACCCCAUACUCAUAUGCCACCCUAUUGUCCUUCUAUGUUCAGUAUUGUCCUAUAGUGCAAUAUAUGUACAUAGCAGAUAUAUAUUUUGUAUAUCCCUGUAUAUCUAAUCUCUUUCAUCUCUUUUUAUACAGUUUUUUCUAGCAAUAAUUCUGGAGCAGUUGCAAUAAGCAUUUCACUGCAGGUUGUACUGUGCAUGGUGAUGCAUGUGGCAAAUAAAAUUUUAAUUUUGAAAGGCUGUGGAGAGAACCUCUGUAUUUACUGCAACUGGUUUAAUUUCAUCACCAAGCUUAACGGGACUUGCUAAAAGGAAAUAUGUAAACCAUCUUUCCAUUUUCUAUAACCACUGGUCCAGUAGGAGGCUGAAGCAUCCAUCCCAGCAGGCAUGGGACAGAGAACAGAGACAGAACAUGCCUCCGCAGAGAUCCCCGGGUUUAGCCGGAAGACGGCAAGGCAGGUGGCACAGUCACGGCCACACCGGCAAGGUUUGGGGUCAAGUCUCAUUUCUGCUCCGAGUGCUGAGUCGAAAUGCCAUCCCAGUGACACACGUGUCCUUCCGCAGUCCAAACCCUCCCAGUUAGACUAACCAACGGCAUCUUUAACCCCCUAUAUUUUGUGGUUGUGUGGGUGUACCUUCGUGUGCUCACAAUCAACUGCCCCCCCCCUCCACCCCAUCCAGGGUGCACCUCUGCUCUGAGCCCUGAGAUUCCCAGCAGAGACUCCAAGCCCCCGUAACGACCAGACCUGUCCAUCUACAGAACCACGGUGAUGAAGGAAGGCACCGUUUCGGGGGAAGCGGCCGGUGGACGUACUCGGCCUGUCUUUGCCGGUGCCCUUCUGCUCAGCGAACCUCUGCAGCAGCUUCUCAGUGCCGAUGUUCUCCACGUUCUGCUUGAACUCCUCGUACACCUGGGCAGAGUCCAGCAGAGCAUUAAAACAUGUGCCGCGCAGUGCAAAAAUCUUAACCAGUCAAAGGAAAUGUGCUACAUGCAAAUCAAGAGCAUCAACAAACACUAACAAGAAUUUCUUCAGUUCUCCAUAAAGUUAACAUCAUAUUGGAUGUCUACAAGAUCACCACCAGUCAUUUCACCACCAGCUCAAGUGAUGAAUUAAUCAAAUUAGUUUAAUAACACAGUGAGGUUGUGAUUAUCCCAACAAGGCGUGCUAGUGGACAAGUAAAAAAAUAUAUGGGGUGUUUUGGUUGCAGGAAACACUGGGGUGAGGUUUUGACAUGGCUAAGCAGACAUUUUCACAAACACAAAAUCACAGUUUUAUACCAGCAUCAAGAUAAUUUAAGAAUCGUGUCCUUUGAUUACCUAAGACUUCAACACAGUACUGUACAUCUCAAAUAUCAAACAGAGCCUUCUAAUUGGUCACAAAGAUGAAAUUUCGAAGACCACAAAAAUUCAUCAGCUGCCUUGACGGUUCAUUAAGCCACGUUCUGCCUCACCCAGAGGAAAGACAGGAUGAGGAGGGAGUGAAGAGAAAGGACCAAAUGCUCAGUCAGCUUGGGAGAUGACUGCCAGCAGAGGAGAGCGUGCUCACCUGUCCCACCUGCACGUGCGUGUCCUCCACGGAGUGGACGUAGGACAUGAUUAGCUGCUUCAUCUGCCGCAGAUGGGUCUCCUCUAUGUCCUGGAACUUCUGCUCAGACCAGGAGCACAACACAUAAGUCGAUUUACAAGUGUGAGGGAGGUAGAGGGGGGUGAAAGAGGCACUAGGAGGUAUGGGAUUGAGGGAGGUGCCAAGAGGUGAGGAAGGUGCAGGGAGAUGCAGGAGGCAAGGGAUUGAGGGAGACACUGGAAGGUCAGGGGGGCAUCAGGAGGUCCAGAGCCCCAUAGAGACGCUUGGCUUGGGGUUUGACUAUUUGUAUGGUGUGGCAGGUGCCUCGUUCCAGUGCAGGCAGCAGGUGCCUCGUUCCAGUGCAGGCAGCAGGUGCCUCGUUCCAGUGCAGGCAGCAGGUGCCUCGUUCCAGUGCAGGCAGCAGGUGCCUCGUUCCAGUGCAGGCAGCAGGUGCCUCGUUCCAGUGGAGGUACAAGGCUUCCGUCAGUCAUCAGUUCGAUUCUUGGUGCGUUUUGGUUGGAAACUAACUACACGUGGUUUUCGAUCUCUUUUAUUGUUCUAUUGCUCUUUUCUUAAAAGGUGGAUUGCUGUUCCCUCCACACUCCAUCUUAGAGACAAAAAAGUCUGUAUACACAUAAGGGAACUCACAACUUAAGUGCAACUCGAGGUAAUGGGAUUGCGGCUUCUAAUCAUACAGAGUUUGUGCCUCAGUGCACUAACCCUCUGCAGAAUCAUCACACCCAUGGUGCCUGGAGCAAGGCCCUUAGCCUCAUGUUUCUGUUCCCCAUUGACUCCCCCAAGAGACCAAUAAAGUGUCUGUACACAGACACACACACAUACAUAUUUGUGUGAUUGUGACUUCAUAUAUUAGUACACUGGUUGUAUUACUUCAUAAGACCCUUCCUUUCCUGUAAACAUGAGGCCUUCAGUACCUCAGAAAUGAGGUUAGAAGGAGAAACGUACACAUCACAUUUAGUUGCACAUCUAGUCAGAGUUGUACAGACUGCACAUUUUGUAAAUACUGAUCUGUACUGAUUUGCAUGGUUAUUCACUUAUAAAUCUAUUUUAUCGUAUUUCUAUUUUUUAUUAUUUUCUUAAUUUAUGUCCUAUGUUGUCUGUGAUUGUACGCACCAGUACCACCAAGACAAAUUCCUAGUACAGGCUGGUGUACCUGGCCAGUGAUGUGAAUUCUGUUUCUGAGCACAUCAUACCCUACACUUCAUCAAAAAGGACAUCCACACCAGCAGGUGGCAGCAGAGUGGACAGCGGUCGAACAGGCUGGUAGAGCAGGGACAGCUGAAUAAAUGGGUUAAACCUUGGAUUUUUUUUAAAUCAGUUUUAAAAAAGGGGGUUAAAGUAUGAACAAGGCAACCAAAUCCAAAUGCCAGGUUUUUAAAAAGCCUGAAGUCAAAUGAGGGCAGCUUCUCAAAGCAGCUUCUCAAAGAUUUCUCAAGGUUGAAAUGUGAUAUGAGAAGGACAUCAUACCUCAGGAAAGCCAUCUGUCUCUGGUCUUAGGCAUGAGCCUACAAGAUUUAUCAGACCGCCGAAGGGAUAAACCAGCUGUGCAAUGCCGAAAGGAAGCUUAGACUCUACUCUGAUCCAUCAUCACCAGCGAGGAUCAGUGUCUCUGGAUAUCAGUCUGAUAAAGUGCCACUGGGAUUAAAAAUGAAAAGAGGCGUCUACCCGAAGCAGGAGCUGCUCCAGGAGAGCCGAGGCCAGUGAGAGCCAUGCCAGAACGACCAUUUGCUGCCUGGCACUAGCGGCAGGGGCGCACCUUCUCCAACUCCCUCUGGGGGGCGCCCUCGCGGAGCAGGCGCUCCACCUCCGAACGCCUGCAGAGGUGGCCGUCUCGGGCCUUGUGCAGCUGGCUGCUCUGCGUCUGCAGGGCCUGGACGGCCUCCAGCGUUCCCACCGCGGUCUCUUUCAUCUGUAUGGGCGACAGGCUCACCUGAGGAGGCUAUACAGCAGAAGGCCUUCGCUCCCAGUCUCCACAGUGAUAAUAAACAGAGAUGCACAUCCACACACUACUGUGCAGUUACUGCUUCAGCCACUAGGGGGACAUAACAAUGGCAGGGUGUAUUCUGGAAAUAGCCAAUAGGAAGAUAAAAAAAAAAAAAUAGAGAACAGCUAUAAAAAUACCAAGAUGACCUUGUUGUGCAUCUUUCAUCUGCUGCCACUAUUAGCAACUUACAUACAUAACAGACUCCAAAUUGAGGAGCAAAUUUCCAAAAGUCAGUCAUCUUUUUGCCGUUUUUGAGAUGACACCGCCGAAGUCAGGCUUCCUCAUCGUAUGUUACAGUAUCGGGAAGCAAAACUCAGUCAGUCCUCACGUAAUCCAACAAAGAACUUUUGUUACGUUUCCACAUAUCGCCGAGUCCACGAUAACUUUCCGGAAAACGUGUCCCGUGCAUGAAAAUGUGCUCUUCAGUUGUUACGUGAGGUCAUGAACUGAGGCGGAACAAAUGGGCCGAUGCAGCGGGCCGGAAAAGGGGGAAGACGGAAGAGAGGGAUGGGGAAGAGGACCGAACGCCGGACAAAUGGCGCACGCAUCUGGACUGGCGGCCCGGGCUGACCUUACGGUGAACUUUGACCUGUUCCUCGCCAUACUUGUUGAUGUCUCGAAGGAGGUCGUUCAUCUUCUUCAUCAGCUCCAGGUGGCACAGUGCCAGUUUGUCCGAGGAGAUGCGGAAGAGGUCCCACAUUGGCGCAAAAGUCCUGGGGGGGGGGGGGGAACAGGAUUAAAUAUUUAAAAAAGCGAGAGAAGAGAGCCAUAUUUAAGAAGCACCCCCCUCCCACAACGUGUAGCAUCCAAACAGCCUGACAAGAAAUGCUGGUACAAAACAGACUGAUACGGAUAUGCAACCAUAAACCAUAAAGCCCAUGCUUGCUUACAGGCUGCACAGUAAAUUUCAUUAGUUAGGGACAAAUUUAGGUGUUUCCACCCCAAAAGACUGUUUUCACCUCCCACUCUAUUUCCUGGUGAGCCAACGUGAGAAAGAUGCACACUGACAGGAGAUCGAUGACGGUGACGCAGAUGCCUCUUCCUUACCCGAGAGGACUUCCGUUGCCCGCCAUCUUGGCCAUCUUACUCACUGACUUGGAAUAUGUUUCUUCAAUAGCUGCCCUAUUUAUAAAGGGAAGGAAACAACCAAUCAGAGUGGAUCUACAAACAGGGCAAAGCACUCGCUUAACUCAACGGUAUUUAGACAGGAAACCCACUUUGCAUGCGACAAUAACCGGCCUAAUCUACACGGUUUUGGCUGAACGCACGAUGCUGGCCGUGUCUAUGCUUUUUACGGCCCCCUUCUUCGCCAUCUGUCUCUGUACCGUGAUCCCUUUACCUGUCGCCAACUUCCUCAUGUCACCAGCAGAGACAAUGAUCACACAUAAAACGAUUACGGAACUGAAACGGUUUCUGGCCAGGAGACCACUUCUGCUAAUAAACAUCCGAUCACGUACUCAAGAUGACACUUACCCCCCUCGUGCUUGACAUCCCCCCCCCCUUAAAAAAAGGAGGAAGUGUUUUAAGCUUUAUAUGGAACACUUUUGUUUCGUCUGCUAAUUUUACGCUUCUAUUAAAAAGAGGACAUACGUAUGUGCUUAAUAAUGAUCUGAUUUCGGAGAUGGCUAUUAAAGGAAGGUGACAUUUGAGGAGGUACAAAUGCUUAGUAAAAACUCAAGCGCAAAAUGGCGAACAAAUGUAGUUAAGUUAAAAGAUGCAUCACGGUUCAUUAAUGAUUAACAAACAUGAGAUCAGUAUUUAACUUGUGUUAUUCAUGACUUGUUCCUUCAGUUAAAGGUUUACAGAAUUAACAGAUGUAGUAAAUAUAGUAAUUACUUGAGAUGCAAGAUGUGUCACAAUUCAGCGUGCAACUAAGACUUAAUUUGUGGUUAAUUGACAUAAGUAAUAGCAUAGUACUAUAUUAUUAGCCAUCCUGCGUUGAGAUAUGAAAAGGCUGAGGAGGAUGCUGUAGACUCCCCUGCUAUCGGGGGGGAGGGGGGUAUGAUCUAGUUACAGCAGGCUGCAGCCCAAUCAUCCAUCUAAUUAGUGUCAUUAGUCUCUCAUCAUGUAUGUCAUUGAUAGGGCGCCAUAUUGGUGCACUGGUUAGCGCUGCUCCUAUACGCCUCUGAGACCAGUUAAAUAAAGAUGCUUCACGUCACACCGAAGUCAUGGUCGAGAAAAAUGGCCGAAGGAAUGUGCUGUGUAUCUCAGAGCAGGCGGGUGAUCGCUUAUCAUGGAGGGAUGCGAAGAGUUCAGUUUCAUAAGGACCUUCUACACCAAAGUUCAUCUCGUCCAUGCAUGGUUUAUUGUCAUUAAAUCUUGUGUCAUGUCCAGUAACAUUCAUCUGUCAAUUCUGGUCACUGGUCACAUUAAAACAACACUGCAAGUAUUUACAUGUCACUGCACCUUAUCUGUAUUCACUGCACUGGCGACUGCAUUUACUGCACCUUGUAUGCGAUACGAUACCAGUGUUUGGACAACAUCGAUAUCAGGUAGCAUCCCCAGUGCAAUAGCUCAUCUAUUUAUGGUCUGCUGUGUUCAUACGAAGUUUAUGCUGUUAUGUUAUGUCACGUGUGAUGUCUUAUAUACAAAAUUGUUCAAAUGUCAAUUUUUCUUCUACAAUGCACUCAAGUUACACCUCAGUUUAUUUUUUUUAUUAAUAUGUUAUGUGGGAGUGGACCAUUUGGAUGGCAGCAAAAAUUUCAUUGUACUCUGUACAAUGACAAUAAUCUAAUCAUAGUGCACAAGACAAAGCUAUUAAUAAAGCUAUUGUGGACUGUA